CUGGUCUCACAUGGUGGAUAGAGUUGGCUUCGGCGCCAUUGAACCUUUAGCACCAUUUGAAAUCAGUGC
rnacentral:pre_miRNA from 1 species